rnacentral:rRNA from 1 species
UACAGAGGUGACUAACGUUGUCCGGAAUUACUGGGCGUAAAGGGCGUGUAGGCGGUUGUGUAAGUCAGAUGUGAAAGCUCUGGGCUUAACCCAGGAAUUGCAUUUGAUACUGCACGGCUUGAGUACGGUAGAGGAGGGUGGAAUUCCCAGUGUAGCGGUGAAAUGCGUAGAUAUUGGGAGGAACACCGGUGGCGAAGGCGGCCCUCUGGACCGAGACUGACGCUGAAACGCGAAAGCUAGGGGAG